rnacentral:rRNA from 1 species
CCUACGGGUGGCAGCAGUGGGGAAUAUUGGACAAUGGGGGGAACCCUGAUCCAGCCAUGCCGCGUGUGUGAAGAAGGCCCUCGGGUUGUAAAGCACUUUCAGUGAGGAAGAACGCCUGGUGGUUAAUACCCAUCAGGAAAGACAUCACUCACAGAAGAAGCACCGGCUAACUCCGUGCCAGCAGCCGCGGUAAUACGGAGGGUGCGAGCGUUAAUCGGAAUUACUGGGCGUAAAGCGCGCGUAGGUGGCUUGAUAAGCCGGUUGUGAAAGCCCCGGGCUCAACCUGGGAACGGCAUCCGGAACUGUCAAGCUAGAGUGCAGGAGAGGAAGGCAGAAUUCCCGGUGUAGCGGUGAAAUGCGUAGAGAUCGGGAGGAAUACCAGUGGCGAAGGCGGCCUUCUGGACUGACACUGACACUGAGGUGCGAAAGCGUGGGUAGCAAACAGGAUUAGAUACCCGUGUAGUC